AAACACAGAAUGAGAGAAAAUGUACAAGAUUCCUCCAAGAAUUAACAAAUCAACCACAAAAAUCACACCUGGCCUUUGUAUCAAUGUUCAGAUUGUCUUGUUUACAACCUCUGCUCAGUGACACACCAUCGUGCCCUACACUGAUCUAUAUGUGUGUGUGUGUGUGCAUGCUCUAAACUUAGCCCUGACACUACAGCUCCACAUCACAGCAUACUCGGUGGAUUACAAUGGACGGUGUCCACUUUCCACACGCACUGCUGUGUGUGUGAAGCUGAGAAAACAAGAUGUAAACUUAAAACGCCUGCAGGGUUUUCUGUCCGUCUCUCUCUGCAUUUGUGUCGUUUUUCCUGUCAUGAUGGGCAACUAUAGCUCAGCCCUUAUUCCUGACACUGAAGACUUUGUGUCAAUCACGUCAGUGGCUGAGAAGCUGAAUGACGGCGACAGUUUACAAUCAGAGCUUCAAACUCUGGUAACGCACUUUAUGGAAGAGGAAAGGAACAAAAAAACAACAGAGGAGAUGAAUUCUUCAGUGGUUCCAGGGAAUACUGAAGAAACCAGGGCAGCUCAAGCCAAAAGCGAGUCUUUCUCCUCCCUGCUGCCGAAGGCUCUUUCUGCUGCUUUACGGUCAGCGACGCCCCCCGGCCCCAGCACUGAGUGUCAAGGGAAACAACACAUUUCACCAAACAUGGAGCAACUGCAGACGGAGCUGAGAGACCUGAGGGAGCAGUUUGUACAAAUGAAGAGUCAACACAACAAAGAAAUCAAACUUCUGAUGAAUGAGCUCGACGAGGAGAAAAGGAUACGUUUAACUUUACAAAUGGAAAUUCAACGUAUGAAGAAGCACAUGUCUAAAUGAGCCAAGAUGUUUUUAUUUUGUAUCGGCCAGUUUUAUUCAAAUCUUUCAUUGGUUUGAUUCCUCUAAGAAGAUCAUAUCUGUAGGAAAGAAACGCUACAACAAAAUCAAUAUUUGCACUAAAUAUAUAGACUUUUGGAACGCAGGAUAAGGCUGUGAUUACUUUGUGAGGAACAAAUAUAGACGUAAUUUGAGAUGCAUAGAUUUUGUGGCAUUUUUGUUUGUAUUGCACUGUGCAAAAGUUGAUGUAUACAUUAUUUCUGUCAAUGAAUUCUGUGAAUAAAGUAAAUCUGACCACUCA
rnacentral:lncRNA from 1 species